CUAGCUGUAAACGAUGGAUACUAGGCGUUGAGAGUAUCGACCCUCUCAGUGUCGUAGCUAACGCGUUAAGUAUCCCGCCUGGGGAGUACGCGCGCAAGCGUGAAACUCAAAGGAAUUGACGGGGGCCCGCACAAGCGGUGGAGUAUGUGGUUUAAUUCGAUGCAACGCGAAGAACCUUACCAGGGCUUGACAUGUCCGGAACCCUGCCCAAAGGCGGGGGUGCCUACGGGAACCGGAACACAGGUGGUGCA
rnacentral:rRNA from 1 species